rnacentral:misc_RNA from 1 species
GAAAUGCGAUAAGUAAUGUGAAUUGCAGAAUUCAGUGAAUCAUCGAAUCUUUGAACGCACCUUGCGCUCCUUGGUAUUCCUUGGAGCAUGCCUGUUUGAGUAUCAUGAAAUCUUCAAAGUAAAUCUUUUAUUAACUCAAUUGGUUUCUACUUUGGUAUUGGAGGUCUUUGCAGCUUCACACCUGCUCCUCUUUGUUCAUUAGCUGGAGCUCAGUGUUAUGCUUGGUUCCACUCGGCGCGAUAAGUUAUCUAUCGCUGAGGACACUGUAAAAGGUGGCCAAGGUAAAUGCAGAUGAACCGCUUCUAAUAGUCCGUUGACUUGGACAAUACUUUUAUGAUCUGAUCUCAAAUCAGGUAGGACUACCCGCUGAACUUAAGC